UUAUCUUUGUGCUUUUUGUGUUUAUUUUGCUUAUUUUUUAUUCUAAUUGCUUCUAAACUACCCCCGAUUUCUUCAAGCUUUUGUUAAUUGACUCAUACAAGAGUCCCUGCAUAUUUUCAAUUUCUAUGAUCCUUGAUCAAAAGAUGAUUGCUAGACCAACAAAGAUUAUAUGGAUCAAUUUGUUUUAGGGCUGUUAAAACUCGCUCUUACGAUCUGUUAGGGUUUCAAUUCAUUUGUUGUUUUAAAUGCACAAUAAAUUGAAAAUAUGAUUAGAACGAUUAGAGUUCUUGAUAUAUAUUAUUGCACACUUACACAUUUAUUGUUGAUUGAAGAAAAUUGUGAAGUUGGAAAUUAAUCGAUAAGGGUUUUAUCUUUGAAUAAAAUUGUUUUUUUUUCUAGAACGUUUUUUUUUUGACAAAUUAGAUGUCUUUUAUUGAUCAUAAUCAAUUCAUGGGAGAUGCGAAUGACUACACAAUUUUAUGGUCGUGAAGGCUGGGCAACAUUUUUCUUUAUUGCAGGUAUGUUUGUGUCCGGUGAGAAGCUCACGUCUAGCGAUUAGCAGCGGGUUAUGCUAAAACGGGUUGGUUUGACCCAAAACAUUUUUUAUCUCAUUAUGUUUGAUGGUUGUUGAGUGGGUUGGUUUGUUGUGAUGUGUUUAGGAUGAAUAGAGGAAGUUAAAUUGGGCAUGGAUGUUGUAUCUGCAGAGAUACUGGAGGGAUGCACUAGAUGCGAAAAAGGAGGCUUUGAUUCGGUUUCUUCAGAAUGGGUCGUUGGGGAUUGUUGGAGGUGAUGGGGUGAUGAAUGAUGAGGUGCAACAAUAUUUGACGGGGAAUACUCAAAAUAGGUUUAUAAUCUUCAAUAGGAGAAGGCACUUAUUGUCAGGGUUUCAUGGAAGGCCGCAGGUCAUUAAUAGGUAACUUGCAUAUCAUUGAUGGAAGCAAGGUCAGCCAUUGACUUGGGUAGAUUUAUAUGUGUGUUUGUUAUAUGUAUAUAUGUAUGUGUGUUUAAACUGUAAUAUAUACGAUAUGAUUUAUUACUUUUGAGGUUGAAAUAAUUUGUAUAGUGAAAAGAUGUAAGUAAAGGUGAGUUCUUGAAGCGAAGCCGCAUGACGCGUUGGUAUUUUUUUCAAGGAAAUGCAAUCUGGUAGAUUCUGAAUCGGAUUUUAGAGACAAGAAAUAUGAUCGCUACCAGGCAUACUUAACCGAGUCUAACAUUGCAAGUCAUGAAUAGGUUACUUGCAUAUCAUUGAUGGAAGCAAGGUCAGCCAUUGACUCGUGAAAAGAUGUAGAAAAAGGUGAGUUCUUGAAGCGAAGCCGCUUGACGCGUUGGUAUUUUUUUUCAAGGAAAUGCAAUCUGUUCUUGAGCUCUUGAAGUGAUCCAUGAACCAAAUGGACCAACACCGUAUUCACAAUUUGAUCAUUCUUCUAUCGCGAUAACUGUAAAGAAAUUCUUCAAUUUAGAAUCCGAUUUCUUGACCAAGCGCGAUGAGUGGGCUGGCACCUUUGAGAGUUACUUCAACCUUCGUAGUACUCCACGUGAGGAUUGUCCAGGUUGAGGAUCCAGCUGAAGUUGAGGUGGUAUAGACACAUGUUAGUGGCAAUUUAGUAGCUAAGGAGGCGAAGCCAGCUCUGCAUGCUACCCAUGCUAUCCAUGACAAAGAAGUUAAAGGACAAAAGUCCAACUUUUCUUGAAUAAGUCAACCUGGAAGUUACUACCUGCACAAGAGAAAUUCAUAGUCAAAUCAGUGCUAUAAGAAUAGAUGCAAUUAUCAACAUGAUGUCUCCUUCACACAUUAUAUCCUUUUAUGAGGUUCUACAGUUCUUUCGUUUUUAGUUAUUUAUUUUCUUGGCCUAUGUGACCUGUACUGGUCGCUUUCUUCCCCUUAAGGCCGUUUAUGGUGGAGUUUGGCCUAACAUUUUAAAGUCGGACAUGUUUGGGUGCAACAACACGGUCAACGUCUAGAAAUUAAUCAAAGGUAUAGUUGGUGAUGGCAGCUCUAUUUGGUUCUGGGUUGAUGCUUGGGUGGCGGAUGUAACUCUUCAGUCUCUCUACUCGGCCUUAUUUCAGCUUGAAACUAAUAAACACUUGAAACUAAUAAACACUGUACGGUCAAAGAUCACAUCCCCACCACGUCGGAGACUACGGGGUUGACGUGGGUCUAGUCUUAUGAAAUGGAUUCUGCUGAUGAGCUGAAUGAGCUUUGGGAUUGUUGCAACCGGUUGUUUGGGAUCAACAUCCCUGGUGGGGUUGACAAAUGGAAUUGGUUGGGGGAAUCAUAUGGGGAAUUCUCAGUUAGAAUCUUAAAAUGUCUUCUUCAAAGCGAGGUUGUGGUUUCAACUAAUGAUCACUUUGAAUAGGUCAAGUGGUUGCCCAAAAAAGUCAAUAUCUUUACCAUAUUCACCCCUUUUCUCAAGCCUUCGCGACUUGCAAAAUGAUUCAUUUGGUUAUUAUCCUUGCUUGCUGGGUAAUUUGGAAGAAAAGAAACGAAGUGAUCUCUAAUUGCCUGACUGACCCGGUGAAAAUGUUGAAAGAUGUCAAAGCUUUGGGGUUCUUAUGGGUGUAUAACGGAGCUAACCUUCUAUCCUUUGAUUGAAACAGUUGGUACAACUUUUUAGUUUAUGUAACCUCUGUAUAUUCUCAUGUUGUAUAGCCUUUGGCUUGCUUUUUUUUAAUAAAUUUGGCUGAUAAAAAAAUAUUUUGAAGACAUUUAGUGCAGGAUCAAAAUCAUGUGAUAGCUUCAAAGAGGAUUCAUAGACAAUUUACUUUGCUUUUAUUUUAUGUUUUAAAGAAACUUAUAAAAAAAUUGCUUCUUGCAAACCUUUGGCUUUUAUUUUUUCUUAUAUUCGUUUCGGUAAAUGGACUUUUUAUGAUGUAUUCUCACAAUUUUUGGUAAGCGAAGUUUGAACGGGAGAGAAUAACUCUUUUGUAUAGAUAAUUGGUUAGAUGGCGGAGCAACUUUAUAACUUUAAUUAUACACAUUAAUAUGUCGUACAUUUUUUUGUAUCAUUUUAAGUAUGUAUUAAUCAUAAAUAAUAAGUAUAUUAGUAACUUUCUCCAACCCGGGAAGCAAUCCCGGGUAAUAACCUAGUAUUAAAACAAAACAAUUUUGGCCACUUGGCAUUUGCUUAAACUACUAAUAGCCACGUGUCUUUCUAUCAAUCCACGCUUAUUGUGUUUAGGCGCUAAAACCAAAAGCCUCUAAAUCCUAAUUUCAAUUUCAACUCUUUGCCUUCAAUCAAUUCAAUUUUCCAAAAAUAGGAGACGUUACGCAUUCUCUCUGUCCCUAAAGCUUCUUCCAUCGUUAUUUGAUCAGAUACCCUAAUUAUUUGAUCAGAGUACCCUAAUUCUUCUCUAUUCCUUAUUGAUCUCAAAAUUCAAAACCUGUUCUCUCUACAUUUUCUCUCGUCGUUCUGUACUUUUCAUCAUCAGAUCUGUGUUCUGAAAUUUUAACAUGCAUUCUAUUAUCAACAUAAUAUCUCUACCUUUUCCACUUCAAAACCCUAAACUCAAAGGCAUGAACUAUCCAGGUAUUUUUCGGCAUAUUUCAUGAUGUAAUAUGAGAUUCCUCUACGUAUCCUUUGUUCGUCUUCAAACCCUAGAACGUGUCUUUUGUGAUCUGUGAUCCAAAGUAACAAGGCACGUUGUUUUCUUCAAACCCUAAAAUCGAUGUUAUAUGUUUAAGCUCGAAGAUCUGCCAUCUAUUUUUCAAUCAUUUCUAAAAGGGGAUGACGACUAUCCUACAGGUGGAUCACUAUGCUCAAAAGAUUCGCCCCGUUUUCUUUCCAUUUACUGUUCUCCUUGCAAACGUCAAAGAAGCAGUGAUUCAUGAUUUCUAUAUCUUGAAGAAGAAAAGAGUCCAUCUAUUGAAGUCCUUCCCGAUGAGAUUCUUUAUGAAAUCUUUAGGAAAUCUAUUUUUCAAUCAUUUCUAACAGUGAGCUUGCAAACCUGCGGGUCUGAUCCAAACUGAGCUGAACCCAUUUAAAUUAAACUAACAAAUGGGCUUUUUUGUUGCAAAUGAUGUCAAAGAGUUGGUGGUUAUGGGAACAAUGGUCAUCUCGCACGAUGUAUGCAAUGAAUGAGAUAGUGAGAUAGUAGUAAAUGAGUAUCUUGGGCAUGCUUUGAAAACAAUAAGUCGUACAUCUAUGUUAUAUGUAGUAGUGGUAAGAUUGGGUGUUGGAUUACGGGUCAAACAGGAUGGACUAUGGUUGGGUUGAACCACACAUUCUUUAGAUGCCUCUUUUUCCUACUUUUUAUCGUUUCAUCAUUUUAUCGUUUCAGCAUUUACAGAAUUUGUAACAUGUUUAACUAUGAAUACAAUUGUAAUACUUGCUAACAUGUUUGUGAUUAUUCAUUUGUCCUUUUUUCAAGUUUCAACAUAAUUGAUAGUUCCGAGGACUUGAAACACAUUAAAAAGAUAGCUGAGAGAGAAGAUACAUUUGACUUGCUGUCUAGAUCACUAGCACCUUCAAUCUAUGGGCAUUCGUGGAUUAAGAAAGCGGUUAUUUUACUUAUGCUUGGUGGAACAUAUGUUAAUUAAAAAAACGGUCUCCACUUAAGAGGAAGAUGAUCUGGUUGACUCAUGCAAACCUGGAGACCGUGUCGCAAUUGUUGGAGUUUACAAAGCUAUUCCUGGGAAAAGUCAAGGCAGUGUCAAUGGAGUAUUCGGGUUAACUUAAAUACCUACAGUUAAUAUUUUCUUUCACUUAUACCAUGGCAAUCUGGGUAUUUUAACGAAAUAUAUGAUGAUAUGCAGGACUGUGCUUAUAGACCUACAGUUUAUAUUUUCUUUCACUUAUACCACAAAUUUAACCUUUGACGUCAAAUCCAGUUGAGCAGAACGGCGUUGUUCGGACCGGAAAGAGUAACUGGUGCUUACAGAUACAAUUAUUUCAUGUCGCUGGCAAUAAGCAUCUGGGGAUAAAGCAAGACUUUCUUUCUGUCCAAAGUCAACUGGUGGCACGGGAGUCAAAGCAAGAGUUUCUUUCUGUCCAAAGUCAAUUGUCUCUAUAGGGGUAUCAUCAGCAAAGUGUAAGUAUUGUUGCAUAGAAGUUUCAUCAAAGUUUGUUGGGUCAGGCAAUGCAGCAGCAAAUGAGGUUCGUGUAUCCAGUGGGAAAAUAGCUUUGUUUCGGUUAUAGCAAAGACAACCCGAAUCUGUAGAAUGAACAGACGGAGCGUACAACAAUUGCGUUCUUAAGGGUAGAUGAUGAAUAUAUGAAAGUGUUAGAAAAUUGUGUGAGGCAAAUUCUUAUGAGUUCAGGUUCUACAGCGUUCACAAAAAUUGUUAACAAGUGGAACACCGCUCUAAUAGGCCUAAUGACGUAUUUUCGUGAAGCAAUUGUGCACACGCAAGAGCUUUAGUUAUGUUGGUCAAAUGUGAAAACAAAAUCCAAACCCGUAUCAAAAUUGGGUUGAAUUCAAAAAUGCCUAGCAGGUAUGUUAUCAAUGAGUCACAUAUUGAAUUCAGUUACUAUGAGGUAUUACGAUCUUUUUAAACUAAACAUAUCAGUCCGUAUGCAUUUUGAACUAAAUGCACUGUUAGGUUUAGGUCUGUUGUAAUGAUUGUAAUGUUUUUUUUUUUUUUUUGAAGUCAAUCAGUUGACUUUAUUAUUUAAGAGUAAUCUUGGAUUAAUGCUUGAGAUGAUUAGUCUUCAGACGAUUCAUUGAUCUUCAUAGAGAUUCUCGAAGCAUAUGUUCGAUUUGGAUGAUUAGGCAUAAGCUAAUUGAGUAUGAUGUGUUGCUGUUGGAUAAGUUUAUAGAUAUUCUUCAAGAUUUACAUGGUGAAGAUCUUAAGGAAAUGACGGACGCCACUACAUCAAAGUACUCUGAAGCGAGGUACGGUUAAAUUGUUAAGGAAGUGUCAUCAUACAGGAAGCCUUAAGGUGAUUUGUUUGUAUACCGUUACUGUCUAAGGAUCAAAAACAAGUAGAGGAUUUAAAUCAUCUCCACGUUUAGAUAGAAGAUUCGUACUUUACCACCACACCAAGGGACAAGGUAGUUGGUAGCUUACGGGUGCUGUAUCUUUUUGUUGGACAAUCACCCAACAGAAGCAGGUAGAUUUCGUAGGGAAUCCAAACCGAGGUCCUAAACAAUGCCUUUGUCUCAUUGUAGUUUACUAAUUUAUUAUUACUUCAACGGUUAUUUAAUUCAAACGAUUACUUCAAUAAAUUAAACUUAUUCAUUUGUGUUUUA